AGAGCGAACGCUGGCGGCAGGCUUAACACAUGCAAGUCGAGCGGGCGUAGCAAUACGUCAGCGGCAGACGGGUGAGUAACGCGUGGGAACGUACCUUUUGGUUCGGAACAACACAGGGAAACUUGUGCUAAUACCGGAUAAGCCCUUACGGGGAAAGAUUUAUCGCCGAAAGAUCGGCCCGCGUCUGAUUAGCUAGUUGGUGAGGUAACGGCUCACCAAGGCGACGAUCAGUAGCUGGUCUGAGAGGAUGAUCAGCCACAUUGGGACUGAGACACGGCCCAAACUCCUACGGGAGGCAGCAGUGGGAAUAUUGGACAAUGGGCGAAAGCCUGAUCCAGCCAUGCCGCGUGAGUGAUGAAGGCCCUAGGGUUGUAAAGCUCUUUGUGCGGGAAGAUAAUGACGGUACCGCAAGAAUAACGCCCCGGCUAACUUCGCGCCAGCAGCCGC
rnacentral:rRNA from 1 species